rnacentral:rRNA from 1 species
AUUGAACGCUGGCGGCAUGCUUUACACAUGCAAGUCGAACGGCAGCACGGGUGCUUGCACCUGGUGGCGAGUGGCGGACGGGUGAGUAAUACAUCGGAACGUGUCCAGAAGAGGGGGAUAACGCAUCGAAAGAUGUGCUAAUACCGCAUAUACUCUAAGGAGGAAAGCAGGGGAUCGAAAGACCUUGCGCUUUUGGAGCGGCCGAUGUCUGAUUAGCUAGUUGGUGGGGUAAGGGCCUACCAAGGCGACGAUCAGUAGUUGGUCUGAGAGGACGACCAGCCACACUGGGACUGAGACACGGCCCAGACUCCUACGGGAGGCAGCAGUGGGGAAUUUUGGACAAUGGGCGCAAGCCUGAUCCAGCAAUGCCGCGUGAGUGAAGAAGGCCUCGGUUGUAAGUAC